GACGAACGCUGGCGGCGUGCUUAACACAUGCAAGUCGAACGGAAAGGCCCUGCUUUUGUGGGGUGCUCGAGUGGCGAACGGGUGAGUAACACGUGAGUAACCUGCCCUUGACUUUGGGAUAACUUCAGGAAACUGGGGCUAAUACCGGAUAGGAGCUCCUGCUGCAUGGUGGGGGUUGGAAAGUUUCGGCGGUUGGGGAUGGACUCGCGGCUUAUCAGCUUGUUGGUGGGGUAGUGGCUUACCAAGGCUUUGACGGGUAGCCGGCCUGAGAGGGUGGCCGGCCACAUUGGGACUGAGAUACGGCCCAGACUCCUACGGGAGGCAGCAGUGGGGAAUAUUGCACAAUGGGCGGAAGCCUGAUGCAGCAACGCCGCGUGCGGGAUGACGGCCUUCGGGUUGUAAACCGCUUUCGCCUGUGACGAAGCGUGAGUGACGGUAAUGGGUAAAGAAGCACCGGCUAACUACGUGCCAGCAGCCGCGGUGAUACGUAGGGUGCGAGCGUUGUCCGGAUUUAUUGGGCGUAAAGGGCUCGUAGGUGGUUGAUCGCGUCGGAAGUGUAAUCUUGGGGCUUAACCCUGAGCGUGCUUUCGAUACGGGUUGACUUGAGGAAGGUAGGGGAGAAUGGAAUUCCUGGUGGAGCGGUGGAAUGCGCAGAUAUCAGGAGGAACACCAGUGGCGAAGGCGGUUCUCUGGGCCCUUCCUGACGCUGAGGAGCGAAAGCGUGGGGAGCGAACAGGCUUAGAUACCCUGGUAGUCCACGCUGUAAACGGUGGGUACUAGGUGUGGGGUCCAUUCCACGGGUUCCGUGCCGUAGCUAACGCUUUAAGUACCCCGCCUGGGGAGUACGGCCGCAAGGCUAAAACUCAAAGGAAUUGACGGGGCCCCGCACAAGCGGCGGAGCAUGCGGAUUAAUUCGAUGCAACGCGUAGAACCUUACCUGGGUUUGACAUGGAUCGGGAGUGCUCAGAGAUGGGUGUGCCUCUUUUGGGGUCGGUUCACAGGUGGUGCAUGCCUGUCGUCAGCUCGUGUCGUGAGAUGUUGGGUUAAGUCCCGCAACGAGCGCAACCCUUGUUCACUGUUGCCAGCACGUUAUGGUGGGGACUCAGUGGAGACCGCCGGGGUCAACUCGGAGGAAGGUGGGGAUGACGUCAAGUCCUCAUGCCCCUUAUGUCCAGGGCUUCACGCAUGCUACAAUGGCUGGUACAGAGAGUGGCGAGCCUGUGAGGGUGAGCGAAUCUCGGAAAGCCGGUCUCAGUUCGGAUUGGGGUCUGCAACUCGACCUCAUGAAGUCGGAGUCGCUAGUAAUCGCAGAUCAGCAACGCUGCGGUGAAUACGUUCCCGGGGCU
rnacentral:rRNA from 1 species